UGCUUUCACGCUGAACUCGGAAUCUCCGCCCUCCCCGGCAGUGAAGCCUGUUACUGGGUCCAGCCUGCUGCCCUGGCACCCCUGCUCUUGGGAGGGUCCUGCCCUGGUCUGUUCGGUUCCCUGCAGAUAGUCAGCCCCGUGGUGGGCCCAGCCUUAGUCCUCUUCCCGGUGCCGCUUCUGCCUGUGCCACCCGCCCUCCACCUGCUGGUCUCUCAGCCUCAGCGGCCUGCCCUGGUGCUGUCCCACAGGAGCCACCCCUCCUGCGUCUCUGUCCCCUCAAAGGAAUGCCCACUGUAGCCACCACAGGUUCUGCCUGGCACCUGCUGGCAACUCUCUGCUGCCAUUGCCAGGACACAGCUCUUUCUGGCCCAGAGCGACAAUCCUGGCAAAUGACCUUGGAUAGCCUGGCCUCUAAGCUGAAUGCAAAGAAACCAGCAUAUGGUGAGCACUGACCAUAUGCUGGCAUUGUGUCCAGCCGUCGCCCUCACCCCUGUGCAGGGAUUCCCCUUCCAUAGAGGGGGUGACAGGAGCCUACUCGGCCCUAGGCAGGAGCCAGGCCUCAAACCCAAGUCUGGCUGAACCAAAAGUCCGCACUUCCCAGAGACUUGCCAUCUCUCUGUUCCUAAGGGAAUCUUUGCUGUUAUCAUCACACCUCACUGUGUCAAGACAGUCACAGGAAGUCCCCCAGGAGCUAGGCUGCUGGUGACCGGACGCUGCGCUGUCUGACCAGCAUGCUCCUCCCACAUUGCGGCUAAGCUGGCCAGCACCCAGUCUGGCUUUGCCCGUGUAGUACCUGGCACCUUUCUGCGGGGCUGCAGUAACUGUCCCUAGUCCCUCUUCGAGUGUGUCUCCUUAUCCUGAGGUCUAAAGUUCUGAUAAUCUCCCCCAGUGAACCCCCACUUUCUCCAAGGGGCCUAGGUCCCCGAGGGCAUGGGACCCCCAGUGGCCUGCCUUGCCAACCUGGGCCUUCUCAGGUGGGUGUGCUCCCAGGGAGCAUUAGCCCAGAGGAAGCACCUGAUCAGUCCCUGCCCAUUACCCCUAAAAGCCACAAUAAUAGACUCAUAGUGAUGACCUGCUAUACCAGAACCUCGCCCUCAGCAGAACUGCUAUUGGUCUCAAAGGCGACACUGUGAAGAACUGCUGGAAAUUCCCACUCUCCUAGCCUCCUGUUUAUUGACUGCAUAGCCGCCUCCCCUGAGUAGAACCACUGGGGAAUGUGUGUAGACACCACGCGUCAGCCAUCAUGUUUUCAUUCAGAAUCCGCCCUGUGCCCAGUGAAGUGCCAGGUACAGAGUGAGAUUCCAUGCAAAAAUAUGCGGCAUAGUCCUGUAAAUAAUUUGCAAUUAACCAGGAAGAUACAUUAACACAGGAGAAUUAAAGAACAGUGGUAAGUACACACCGGAAGUGAGAAAGCUCUGUGGCUUCCCUCACUGCCCCACUUUACCCCUGCCAGCUCAGCCCGGCCGCUUGCUGAACCCCAAUCAUGCCCAGCGACUCCUGCCUCAGAGGCUUGUCCUGCUAAUUCCUACCACCUGGAAAACCUUCUUCCGGACCUUGCUAGUGCUCCCUUUCUCGCUUUGGUCAGUUUUCCACUUCAAUGUCCCCUCCUCAGGGGGCCCUCCCCAGGUGGCUGUCUCUAAAAUAGCUCCUCUUACAGCGUCUUCUCAGCUCACUUCAGUUUUUCUUCAGAGCUCUUAUCACCACCACCUCAUAUUUACUUAUUUAUUGUUCAUUGACUGUCAGGAGUGGUGUCUGUGGUUCCCGGCAGUAUCCCCGGAGUCUGGAAUAGCGGCUGGCAUAAACCAAGCUGAGGAAAUGAGGUGGUGAGAAAGUAAUGCCCGGAGAAAAUCCCCUGUUAUGGUAGUAAGAGUAUGAAGUAGAAAAAAGAGCAGUAGAGCCACUUAUUAAAGAGAAAUUACAGUGUAUUACAUACCAUGCCUCAAAGAUCUGAAUGCUCAGCCUCUACUGUUCUCAAGGGACUUUUCUUCAUUCUGGGGACUCUGAGAUUUGACUAGAGUCUGGAGCUGUGAGACAGGAUAAGCAUCUCAUGGGCAUUCAGUCCUCUCAUCUGACGAUUGUUAAUACAUCUCAGUGCUUUUUAUUAACAUCCAAUUCAAAGAUGACCCACGUCUUAGGUGGUACUAAAAUGGAUCACACGUGUUGCACUUAAUGCCUUUCCACAGGGAAUAUCUUGUUCGAUCUUAAUGAUUCUGUCAGGUAGGUAUUAUAGCCAAUGUACAGAUAAAGAGCGGAUCCUGAGAGCUAACUGACUAGAGAGUAACGGCUUAUACUAUCCUCCCACUCCAGAGCCUAAAUCUUCCUUUCCACUCUGCUACCCUCCUGAUCUGCUUCUGUCUCUCCAGCUGAUGGUAUGUUCCUCCACGUGCACGUGCUUCCACUGAAUCAAAACGCAGUUCCUUGCUGGUGCUAUAUGCCUUAAUGGUCCUAUGCUGUUGCACAUGCCAUUCUCGGUCCCUGGAAUGAUGCCUUCCCCAUUUAUUAUACUUGGUUACUUCCUACCUUCCCUUCAAGAUACAAAUCUAGCAGCCUCUAAACAGUCUGAGAUGAAAUGGUCUGCUCAAGUGUCCUGCUGUGCCCAGCACAGAUUAUAAAGUGAUCAUCACCCACUAGCUUCUAAGCUAGUGAAUAUUUGAGAAUAGAGAAUGCCUUUAAAGAGUAAAUGGACUGGCUGGGCAUGGUGGCCCACACCUGUAAUCUCAGUGCUUUGGGAGGCUGAGGUGGGAAGAUUGCUUGAGGCCAG